UACGGAGGGUGCAAGCGUUAUUCGGAAUUUCUGGGCGUAAAGCGCACGCCGGUGUCUGUGUCAGUCGAUUGUGAAAGCCCUGGGCUUAACCUGGGAAUUGCAGUCGAUACUACUCAGCUAGAGUAUGGGAGAGGGUAGUGGAAUUCCCGGUGUAGCGGUGAAAUGCGUAGAUAUCGGGAGGAACAUCAGUGGCGAAGGCGGCUACCUGGCCCAAUACUGACACUCAGGUGCGACAGCGUGGGGAGCAAACAGG
rnacentral:rRNA from 1 species